CCUACGGGAGGCAGCAGUGAGGAAUAUUGGUCAAUGGACGAGAGUCUGAACCAGCCAAGUAGCGUGAAGGAUGACUGCCCUAUGGGUUGUAAACUUCUUUUAUAUGGGAAUAAAAUGUUCCACGUGUGGGAUUUUGUAUGUACCAUAUGAAUAAGGAUCGGCUAAAUCCGUUCCAGCAGCCGCGGUAAUACGGAGGAUCCGGGCGUUAUCCGGAUUUAUUGGGUUUAACGGGAGCGUAGGUGGAUUGUUAAGUCAGUUGGGAAAGUUUGCGGCUCAACCGUAAAAUUGCAGUUGAAACUGGCAGUCUUGAGUACAGUAGAGGUGGGCGGAAUUCGUGGUGUAGCGGUGAAAUGCUUAGAUAUCACGAAGAACUCCGAUUGUGAAGGCAGUUCACUGGACUGCAACUGACACUGAGGCUCGAAAGUGUGGGUAUCAAACAGGAUUAGAUACCCUAGUAGUC
rnacentral:rRNA from 1 species